AGCGAACGCUGGCGGCAGGCCUAACACAUGCAAGUCGAACGGAUCCUUCGGGAUUAGUGGCGGACGGGUGAGUAACACGUGGGAACGUGCCCUUUGGUUCGGAACAACUCAGGGAAACUUGGGCUAAUACCGGAUGUGCCCUUCGGGGGAAAGAUUUAUCGCCAUUGGAGCGGCCCGCGUCUGAUUAGCUAGUUGGUGAGGUAACGGCCCACCAAGGCGACGAUCAGUGGCUGGUCUGAGAGGAUGAUCAGCCACACUGGGGCUGAGACACGGCCCAGACUCCUACGGGAGGCAGCAGUGGGGAAUCUUGCGCAAUGGGCGAAAGCCUGACGCAGCCAUGCCGCGUGAAUGAUGAAGGUCUUAGGAUUGUAAAAUUCUUUCAGCGGGGACGAUAAUGACGGUACCCGCAGAAGAAGCUCCGGCUAACUUCGUG
rnacentral:rRNA from 1 species